rnacentral:rRNA from 1 species
ACGGGUGCGUAACGCGUGGGAAUCUGCCCUUAGGUUCGGAAUAACAGCUGGAAACGGCUGCUAAUACCGGAUGAUGACGAAAGUCCAGAGAUUUAUUGCCUGAGGAUGAGCCGCGUUGGAUUAGGUAGUUGGUGGGGUAAAGGCCUACCAAGCCGACGAUCCAUAGCUGGUCUGAGAGGAUGAUCAGCCACACUGGGACUGAGACACGGCCCAGACUCCUACGGGAGGCAGCAGUGGGGAAUAUUGGACAAUGGGCGAAAGCCUGAUCCAGCAAUGCCGCGUGAGUGAUGAAGGCCCUAGGGUUGUAAAGCUCUUUUACCCGGGAAGAUAAUGACUGUACCGGGAGAAUAAGCCCCGGCUAACUCCGUGCCAGCAGCCGCGGUAAUACGGAGGGGGCUAGCGUUGUUCGGAAUUACUGGGCGUAAAGCGCACGUAGGCGGCUUUGUAAGUCAGAGGUGAAAGCCUGGAGCUCAACUCCAGAACUGCCUUUGAGACUGCAUCGCUUGAAUCCAGGAGAGGUCAGUGGAAUUCCGAGUGUAGAGGUGAAAUUCGUAGA